AAACAGCAUAAAUUAUAAGAGCCUUAUAACCCAGCUGCUCUAAGAACGGAAGAAGGCUGUACUUUUCCCCCAACAUUUGUGCACUACACACCCCCUAAUUCCCUUAACAAAAAACUGUGUGCCUUGCCCAAAUUUUAGGCUUAAAGGUAACUGACUUAAACAUGAUAUAUUCAAUGUUAUGUGUAGUUGAAGUCUUUGUUGAAGUUGAUUUUGACUAUCCCACUCCAUAAAGCACAAUUUCCAGAUAAAGGGUUUAUAGAAUAUUGUUAGUUUUCAUUUUUAUAUUUAUUAAUACAAUUGAACAUCCAUCUCACUGCAUUAUUAAGCGAAUCUACAUCUUUUUUAAUCACUGUACUCUGAGAACUUUGCCAAAGAUUUGUUUCUUUCUUUUUGUCUUUUUAGGGCUGCACCUGCAGCAUAUGGAAGGCUAGGAGUCGAAUUGGAGCUGUAGCUGCCAGCCUACACCACAACCACAGCAAUGCUAGAUUCGAGCUGCAUCUUCAUCUUACACUGCAGCUCACACCAAUGCCAGAUCCUUCACCCACCGAGUGAGGCCAGGGAUCAAACCUGCAUCCUUAUGGAUACUAGUAGGGUUUGUUACUGCUAAGCCACAAAGGGGACCCAAUAAAUGUCUUUCUGAAGGCAAGAUGCACAAUGUUUGACUCUACUUAUCUCUUCUAUCAAAUAGAUGAUGAUGUUGGUUUGGCAUGACUAUCUUUUGGGGAGUUCUAAUUUAUUUCAAGGGAUGUCUUCUAUUUUCCUAUUGUUCACAACCAUCUGUUUAACAACCUUUUCUAAAGAGAACCUUUCUACUCUGUUGGUGAGAAUGUAAAAUGGUACAGCCACUAUGGAAGUUCCUCAAAAAACUAAAAAUAGAACCUGGAAAAAGCCUAAAUGUCCAUUGUCAGGUGAAUGGAUAAAUAAAAUGUGGUACAAACACAUAAUGGAAUAUUAUUUGGCCAUAAAAAGAAUCAAUGCCAUUUGCAGCAACAUGGAUGGAACUAGAGAUAUCAUACUAAGUGAAGUAAGUCAGAAAGAGAAAGACAAAUGCUUGUGGUUGCCAAUGGGUGGGGGGGAGCAGAAGGAUGGAGUGGGAAUUUGGGAUUAGCAGAUGCAAACUAUUAUAUAUAGAAUGGAUAAACAACAAGGCCCUACUCUAGAGCACAGGGAACUAUAUUCAAUAUCCUGCGAUAAACCAUAAUGGAAAAGAAAACGAAAAAUAAUGUGUGUAUAUACAUAAAACUGAAUCACUGUGCUGUACAGCAGAAAUUAACACAACACUAUAAAUCAGGUAUACUUCAGUGAAACACAUUAAAAAAAAACUAACCUUUUUCCAGAAUACAAAUAGUAUGGUGCAUAACACAGACAGUCAAAAACCUUUGGUGGAGAGAAUCACCUUCCAGCUCAUGGAUGAAGGAUGUCCUACUUUACAAUUCACGCUGUAGUCAGUUCCCUGAAUAGUCCUCACUUAGUAGAUCCUUUCCCGAGGACAGAGUCUUGCUUUCCCCUCCUUCCUUUUCUUCUUCUUCCUCCUUUCCUUUCAUAAAGCUUUGUGAAGGGCUUACUGUCUGACAGAGGUGAGGGAGAUGUGGAGUAUGGUAUUUAGUUCUGAGAAGCAACACUGAGAGAAAUGAUAAUAUAUUGAACAAUUCUUUAUCUUGUUAUCCUAUUUAAUAACUGGUACUUUGCUUUUAAAUUGAUUUAGGAUAUACUUACAUAGGUGUUUGCUAUGUUUUAGCCAUUUUUUAAAAUUAAUUUUUUAUUACUAUUAUAGUUAGUUGAUUUACAAUGUUUCUUCAAGUUCUGUUGUAUAGCAAAAUGACCCAAUCACACACAUUUUCCUGUGCGGUACAGUAGGGCCCCAUUGCCCAUCCAUUCCAAAUACAACAGUUUGCAUCCAAAAAACCUCCCAAACGUCCAUCUAUCCUACUCCCUCCACUUUCCCCUGGAGGGGGCUUUACAAUCAUUGUUUUAAGGACUUUACAAUCAUUAAUUCAUGUAAUCUUUAUACGAAGGAACUAUUAUCAUUCCUAUUUUAUAGAUGAGAAAACUGAAGCACAAAGCUGAUAACAGGUGGAGCCUGGAUUCAAACCCAAGGAGUCUGGCUCCAUGGUCUGUGCUUUUAGUGACUGUAUUAUGCUGCUAUGGAAGUAAGAGAGGCAAAAUCAUCAUAUGAUGUCCCUUUCAACAUAGAAGACAAUACAAAGCAAAAUGAAUGGAAAAAUGAACAAAAAGCACAAAAGAAAGAAGAGAUGCACAAAACCCAUCAUACUUCUCUUAUUAGAAGAUGUAUAAAACAUGAUAGAUCUUCAGGUGUACACAUACCUCCAUCAGUUAAAUGUCUUUUAAUGUUGAGAUGCUGCAACAGGGCCCUAUAGCCAAAUCAAUCUUUCCCAGAAAUUUUCCCCCUUACUGAAAUUUAAAAACCUUUUGUUUUCUGCCCUUUCUGGUAUCACUAGCAGCAGCCCUAAACCUCAGGCAGCUUCUCCCCAAAUUCUGCUCUAGGAUAGUUUCACUUCUCCACUGAUUACAUAAUAUUCUAAUGUAAUAUACCCCUUAUCUGUUUCUCCCAUGACAUGAUGGUAUUCCACAAUUUAUUUUGUCCAAUACCUUGUGCUUUCUUUUACCAAGCAGCCUAAAAUUGAAUCUUGAUCAAAUAUAUUAUAGGCACGGCCAUAGGUUAUAGCUAGCUAUGGAAAACAGCAACUGCUACUUUGUGAGAUUUUAGAAGUUCUCAAAGUACAAGUUAAAGCUAAAUUGACUUUUCUAUUUAAGGAGACUGACGCUCUUUCUCUGUUCAUAUUGCAAAGGAUAAUAUGUGUUUUGAAAAAUUUUUUAUGAAUUCUUUUAGGUAAGGUUUUCAAAACUAAAAAGUCUCUCCCAUCUGGGUAGAAAUCUUGAACAUCUUCAUAGACAGUCUUGCAAUUUUUAAAAAGCUUACUGUAUUAGGCAUAGAGAACAGACUUGUGUUGCCAGGGGGAGGGAGAAGGGAGUGGAGUGGACAGGGAGUUUGGAGUUGGUAGAUGCAAACUACUACAUUUAGAAUGGAGAAGCAAUGAGGUCCUACUGUACAACAUGGCAAACUAUAUACAAUCUCUUGGGAUAGAACAUGAUGCAAGAUAGGAUGAAGAAAAAAAUGUACACACACACACACACACAUAUAUAGAUAUGACUGGGUGACUAUGCUGUACAGCAGAUACUGAAACAAUACUGUAAAUCAACUAUACUUUACAAAUAAAUAAAUACAAUUUAAAAAAUAAAAUAAAAUAGAAAGCUUAACUCUAUUAAAUAUAAAAAGAGUACCUGGAGUUUCCCAAAUAAGUACUUUUCAGGGAGUAAUACUUAAUUGCACAAGGCUGCAGUUCAAAUAUUCCUGAAGAUGUAAGUAGGAAAACUUUCAAGCUUCAAACUAUUUCUUUAAUAAUAAAUAUAAAAGUGUUACUGGAUUAUUAAUGUGGAUGUCAAAGGUAAAGUUAUUGUUUGAUAUUUUAGCAAUUCCCCAGACCAAUCUGAAUUCUUUUUUUUUAAAAUUACCUAAAGAAAUAAACUUUUCUUUUGGAGCCAUGAUCCCAGAUUAGAACAGAUACGGAAGGCUGUCAGAUAAAGGAGGGAUAUCAAAUAGCACUUAUUGCAAAGUUUCAAUUCAGUGGUGCUCCAAAAUGAUGGAAUUCAUAUAAAGAACACAUGGGAAGUUUUUUGACUUUUGUUUUUCUUCCGAAUCCUUUUUUCUCCAUGGAGCUUACCUCUCUCUUUUAUGACAGGAAGGAUUCCAGAACUACUGCACACUGCACUUUAGGGAAGCUAUUUCCCCUUCCCCAUCUUUCCUUCUCUGUACCACAGAGCAGCUGUCAGGGAAUGUCUGAGUAGUACAUGGUGCCCUUUUUCUCUGUGAAGGGAAAACCUUCCUGCUCCUUUUUAUUAGCAGGUAUAUCUGACAAAGUGGUGAUCAGAUAUUUCUUGUUUCUAAAUUGAGGGACCUCAACUACAUCCAUCUAUGACCUAAUGGAACCCCAGAAUUUGGAGAAAGUUGCCAGAAGGAAAGGAUGGGUGAAGAGCCUUGGUGGUCAAUACCAUUCUGAAAGCAUGAUGCAGUCCCUCAGGCUCAUUAUUUUAUUUAAUGGAAUGUCUGUCAUCAUUGAUGAACAAAACAUUUUACCAAAGCUAUGUCAUCCAAGGACUUCAGAUUCAAAAGAAAUGUCAUUUUGCAUUGGUUAGUAAAUUUAAUUUUCUUCUUCUCCAUUCUGAUGAUACAAAUCUUUCUUCUCACGUUGAGACAAUAUUUGGCUUUCAUGAUUAAGCAACAUGGGAACUGCUAUGUAUUGUGAGCAGCUCACCACUCUCUUUAAAUAAACACAUUGCUGAGGUAGUCUCACUUUGACUAUUUCAAUACAUACUUAGUGCUUUAAGAGCACCUAAUUUAUAUCCAGCCUGACACAGUCAUGAAUGUACAAAGAACAGUGACACCAGUGGACUCAAAUGGAGACCUAAACUCAAGGAUAAAGAAGAAUCUACCAAGUUCAAUUCCUGUGCCAAGGCCAAUAAAAAGGAUGCUGGUAUUGCCAACCACAGGGUGCACUGUGCUUGGCUUUGAGGUGAGCCAUCUUGAUUAAGCCCUCACAAAAAUCUCAUGAGAUAUAUGGUAUUUUCUCCUAGUUUAUAGAUAGAGAACAAAGUCCAGAAAUCAAGUAAUUAUCUCAGUCCCAUAGCUGCUAAAUAGUAGAACUAGAAUCCUUCUAACUACAAGUUUCAGGAUUUUUUUCUCUAGUAUAUCUGGGUCCAGUCAUCUACCAAUUUGACAAUGGCUAAGCGAUAUUGAUGCAUAAGGUCUUUGCUCACCAAGGACUCAUUUUCCUUCCAUCUUCUAUUAUAAUGAAAUCCUUAUAUACUGAGGUAACAGGUAGAGAUUCUUUAAUUAAGGAAGGCUGUACUCAUUCUACAAGUCUAAGGGUUGAAUCACAACUGAUUUAAACUAAUCAUCUUCUCAUUUCCCUUGACUAGACUGAUACGAGCGGCCACUGGUAAGGUGCCAGUGAAAUAUAAUGGAAAGAUGUCAGUAAUGACUUCUCUUUCAGAAUUAAAAGACAAAGAUGAGAAGGUCUUCUGUUUUUAUACUUUGCCUCCUGCUUUGAACAUGGACAUGAUUCUUGGUGGUGCAAUAAUCACCCUGCAACCAUGAGGCAACAAGGAUGGGGAAAACCAAUGUGCUAAGAAAUAGUCAAAGUAAAGAUGGAAAGGAUAUUUGCUCCUGAUGCCAAUGUUGAACAGUGAAUUCAAGAUCAACACCUGCCGUCCUCUAGACUAUUUCAUAUUUGAGACAAGUAAGCACUUAAUAUUCUAGGCCAUUAAUAGAGUAUUCUAUCAUUUGCAGCUGAACAUUUUCACUACAAAUAUAGUUAUAAAGUCAAUACCUUAGAAUAGAAUGUGCUGUUUGACUUACAAUGCAAAAAGCCUUAGUUUGUGUUGGCUACUUAGAUGAUGAUGAAAACACGUGAGUACAUUAAACCCUAAGGCAGAUCCAAAUGUGCCCUUUUUUCCCUUAUAGAUCAUUAAUAAAGAACCCUUUUCUACAUGGAGAUGUUUAAAAAUUUUGCCAUAUGAGUCUGUACUAUAGACUUUACUGAAUAUUUUAAAUUUCAAUGUAAAAAAUCUUCCUGUCACUAAGAUACUCAAAAUAUUUCCUUAAAUAGAAGUCUUCAUCUGCACAGAUUUAAUGAGUACUAACUCUAUGCUGAGUGUGGGGAUUCAGAAAUCAUAAGAAACUAAUUCUAAUAGUGGAUAUGGAAAAUGGAACCAAGCAUUCAUUAAAUUAAAGCACUAGGAGCAACUUCUGCCUGAAGGGGUUGGGAAACAUGUGAAAGAAGGGAAAUCUACCGGGAACUGUGGAAUCUGAGUUAAGGAGUUGUUUGGGGAUGAAGCAGGGCAAAAGCCAUUGAGAGACAGGGAAGCCAUCUGUUGUAAAGAGAGGGAGUCACAGAACAGUAUGGCAGCCAUGUGAGUAGAGAGAACUAGAAGAGGUAGGAUGAUGGGAGAUGAGAUCAGAGAGGAUAGCUGGACAGAUCAUCAACUUCUUUUGAUGCUCUGAUCAACUGCUUAGAGUUUAUCCUAAAGACAAUGCACAGCAAUAGAAGGUCUUUAAACAGUGGAGGGAGAGAGAGAUUUGGGGAGAGAAUUCAUUAUUUCAAUAUUUUU
rnacentral:lncRNA from 1 species